UCUUGCGACACUUAGCCUCUCCGCCGGACUAGUCCAGGAGUCCAGGUGGCAUAAAAUUAGGACAUAGGAUUUAAACAAAGAGUUGAGAUCCAAACACAAAGACAAAGACAAACAAGCAAGCAUAAAAAUGUGAAGAACGAUGGGUUUCAGAUUUGUCAUUGAA